GACUUUGCAUGACAUGAACUCUUAUCAUCACCCUUCAGCGACAAAAGAACACAGGAAGGGAACAGCCACCUAGAAUGACAGCGAUAGGGAGAAGCCCAGAUACUCCCAGUUCCCACCACAGAUUCUAUCUGAAGUAGGUGAGACUACAUUCCUGUGCCUCGUGAUCUGGCUCUGGCAUGAGAUUAGCUACCCUGAGAUCAGCAGGGCACUAACAGUAUGGGGGAGAGGAAGGAGGCAAAGUGAAAACCUGGAUGCAUUUAAUGUUUGGGGAAAUGGCUAACAUGGAGAGACAACUGAGUGAACUGCUUUGAUGCAUAUUUCCUUUCAAAGAGAUUUAUAGUGUGUGAAGUUCUGAGGCCACACCAGAGACUGCAGCUGAAAGAAGCCAGGCAAAAGACUAGGUCUGCCUGAACUAAAAUGAAGCAUUUUUAAAGGGGGGGGGCAUAUCUAUGGAACAUAGGACACUUACUGUUUCUUUUGUCCCUUUGAGGACCAGUUCUCCAAAAUGCUUUAAGUAGCUCUGUGGAUAUAACCGUUAUCGAGGAAGAAGUACAUCACCGGCUGUGAUCAUGUUUACAGUCACUGUGCCUCUGCAAUGUUUCGUGCAAACAAGGCAGCUGAAAAAUGUGCCAUGAUCACACCAAUGAAUGCCCCAAAGCAGCAUCUGUCAGUGUGGCAGACUUGCUGAUGAGAAUCCUUCCUUCAUAGGAUUGCGUCCAUGACAGACAAUGUACUUUUGUACUCCAAAUCUUUCAUAAUUUUAAACACAACUACAGCUUCUUUACAAACUUAACACUGAAUACAAUCUCUUGGAUACACGCAGGGCUCGUCAUAUAACAAUUUUGUAGCAGCAACGGGAUAACUUCCCACUUUAAUUGAUUCCUUUACAAGAGCAUUGGUCCAGCACAGUUAAUGGGAUAAUUGGUAACAUGAUAUUUUAUGCAUUCAUUCAUUCUUUUCUUUUCUUUUUAAAAAUAUCCUGCCAGUAAGAAUUGCUUUCAGGGCAGCCAACAACACAUGAUAAAGCAAUUAGUAACAUAAAAUCAAAAGCAGUAAAUAGUAGGAUUAGAAACAGCAAGAUUUGAAACAGAUAAGCUAAAACCACAAGAUAAAAACUCACCCCAGCCAACAUUUAGGAAGGUGCCUUAUAGAAGUCACAGACUAUUGGCCCAUCUAAUGCAGGUUUUUUUUCUGCACUGGCUGGGAGAAUCUCAGCAGGAUUUCAAACAGGGUUCUUUCCCCAGCCCUACAUGAAGAUGAACCUGAGUUCUUCUGUGUGCAAAGGAUGGGUUCUGCCACUGAGUUAGGGCCUGGGAAAAUAAAACUGUUUCCUGAUGCUUGAAGAGACUUGAGUAGGUGCCAGCCAGCAAGCAUCACAACUGUCAAAUGGGUGUUGGAAAGAGCAGCACUGUGCGAGAGAAGGCCUUGCUUCAUAAGGCAAACCAAUGAAUGCUUAAGUGCAGAGGCUUCACAUUUUUAUUCAAAGAAAACUGUAUUUUAUUAUGUGGCAAGGCCCUGCUACAGCUUGGAGUGUUGUCUUUCUUACGUGCUGCCCACAAGUACUCGAGUGGCACAAAAGGGAAAGUGUUCAUUCAGGAAAGAACUGAAUAAAAUUAAGAAACGAGUCCACUGUGGAAAGUACUAACUAAAUAAACGGUGCUCAGUUUGUUCAUGUGACAUUGACAUAUCUGUGGGUGAUAUUCCAAGUUAGUCAUACAGGAGCCCCAAUGAAAUUGACAGACAGGUAAUUUAAGUCCAUUGAUUUCACAGGGUUUGCUCUGAGUCUGACUAACAUUGGAUACCACACUAUAGUUAUAUACUGAGAGAAAGGGGGCUAUAAAUUUCCUUUGGAUUCUGAACAGUGGAAAUAUGCCUGCACUAUUUGCAAAAAUCCAAAGAUCAAAAAUCAGUAGGCAGGGACUGUGGACUUUCCUCAAAGAAGGUUCUUGAAUAAUGGGAUUGUUUUUCUUCUCUGAGGAAAGAGGCUGUGUGUUUUCAAAUCCACAAUCUCAUUUCCAGUUUAAACAGCUGUUCAAACACAACUGGAGGAAAAUUUGAAGCAGGUUCUGUAGCAGCAUUCUGUCAGGAUUAACAGAUUACUGUGGACCUUGAUCACUUUUAACUCUCUCAGUUCUAUUUUUCCAAUAAACUGAACAGACAAAUAUUGCAGCCUGAAAUAUAUCUGUUUGGGAACAGAAUAAUUUAAAAGUUGCAGUAACCAUAAGUGGAGUGAUACAUUCUGGUGUCAGGGUUGGGAGUUUUUAACCUUUGUUUUCUGUGUCACAUGCAUGCCACAACUUGUAAAUAUAACAUAUGAGAAUAAAGAAGCCUCAAUCCAUUAGUGAUCAUAAUAUCAAUAUACAUAUGUAGCAGGGAUUUUGUGGAAUGGAUCAUCUUUCAGGUCCAGUAAUCAUCUUGUUCUGGCAGUCCUUCUGUAUGUUAACAUGGGAAUUUGCCAAUAUUCCAAGUCAAACCAUUGUCCCAUUUAGCUCAGUAUUAGCCACCUCUCCAUGGUUUCAGCAAGAUUUCCAGGGAUUGAACCUGGAACCUUUCUUUGGGUUCAGAACCAUGCAUAGUCCAACGAGUGUUGCCCUUUUAAUAUCUCUGAAUGCAUGGUCAGGUUGUUCUCCAACCACUUGUACUGAACCUGGAUCCCCCCAAUCAAUCCAAUCCAAUCCAAUCCAAAUAACUUUACUGAACUAGCCAUUGGCCAUGACAAAUCUGAAUCAAAAAUAAAUACAAGCAAAAGGGGUGUAGUGCCACAAAUAAUGGUCUCUAUUUAGAUCUCUGUGUCUCCCUUGCAGUUCACUGCUAUAUUGUCCAGGGUUUUCUUUCUGAUCUUUUUGGCCGCCAAAGCAAAAAUGGUGACUUUAUGAGUCACUGAAGCAUUUACAUCACUAAGAAGCCAUAGGGCCUUCUCUGUCGGGGAGAGACCUCUUUCAUGUACGGAUGGUAAGGUGAGAAAUUGCCUCCUGGGUCCAAUGUAUAGUGGGCAAUAUAGCAAAUAGUGCAAUAUGUCUUCCACCUGCAGUUGCCCACAUAACACAGGGUCUGUCUUUGUAUGGUACCCUGUUAUAUCAUCCAUCUAAGACGGGGGAAGGCAUAGCUUGAAAAUGCAGCUCAAUAAAAGCGAAUCUAAGUGAGGCUGGCUGGAGAUUCAACAGGUAGCUGGCUCUAAAAUGGACUGUUUUCAGAAAGAGGAACCAAGGAGGAGUGCAGUGUAGGCACUCUUUCUCCUGUCAAUAACUCCCUUCAGUGGUGGGAAGGAAUGUGAUGAAAAUUUCUGCCCUUUUAUAUCUUAGAGCUUAAUGGCCAGUGGAGAGCUCCGCAGGGAAACUGGGUCUUGUGAUCAUUCUUCUCACUUUCCUUUAAAACUGAUUCAUGUUAGUGAAUGCCACAACUACCAGAGGCUAGCAACUUUAUUCUCCUCCUCUGCAAGAAAUUAAAAGGGAUCUACUACACCACCUCAGUCAGGAUAUGGCAGCAGUUUGAAAGCACACUGCCCUCAAAGGACCUUCUGAAUUUCAUUGUGAAGCCCGAGUCAAGGGUCAAGCAAAACCAGCUUGUGGUGGCCUGAGGUGUGAAAGUUAGCUGAGAGACCAAGGCAAAGAUGUGUUUGAAGCAGCACCUCACCUGCAUUGCACGGCAAUGAAAAAACGAGAGUUCACAUUCCUCUUCUUUUUCCUCUCUCUGGAAAUGAUUUCAACAAGGCCUGAUAAUGCAUUUUCAACUCCUUUGUUUUUAUAUGUGAGUUUGUGAAAUAGCUUUCAUUAUUCUUUUUAGUCUUUUCCAUGGGCACUCAAGUCAAGGCCUGCAAUAUGUAUUUACUUCCUUGUUUUGUUGUUUUGAACUAGGUGCUCAUUAAAGCAGGAAAGGAUAUAUUAAGUCUACAUUUAGGACUACAAGGACGCCAUUUCUUUCUUCAUCAAAUUGGCUGUCGUGGUUCAAAAGCUUUCUGUGAAAAAGAAGGAGGAACCUCUGUAGUCAGACAUGUCUUCCCAAAACCAGUUCAGAACAGGGCCAGGCUGGACUUGUGGAGCUCCUGUGUUUGCUCCAAAUGGUUGUGGUAACAGACUUUGCUUAUUGAAAAAAGCAAAGCUAGAUAAUGCAGCUGGCCUUGGCUGAUCUUUCUCCACCCACUAUCCCUCCUUGAUAACAUUUUGAGAAAAACCAGAACCACAAAAAUACACUUUCCCCCUGAAGC